UAUGUGUCGUCAUUGUGUAUUGUGAUAGUUGCGGUUUCAUUAUGACAUUUCAGUUGCAGGGAGCUUUUCAGAGGGUUUCAUUUUGUAGUUUCACAUACACAAUUUAACGAGUCUUUAAGAUUUAGAAACUUCGACGACCGCAUUUCGUAUGAACGAUUUUCAUAAAUUAUCUUUGGCUCGAAGUCCUGCAUUACACAUUUCUAAACAUCUGCGAUGGUAGCUAACUUUCACAAUAUUCGACGUUAUGUCAUUUCUGUGCUGUAAAACUGGAUGUCGUGUCACACUAUGAUUUUCGGCCUUGUGAUACCCCGUUUACAUCCCUGGCUACCAGUUGAAAUUCCUCAAUGGAAUAAAAGAGCUGUACGGGAGAAAUGAUUUUAAAUCAGAGUGACAACUUGCUUUGCUACCUGUCUGACAUUUUAUGUUACUGAGCAAAUGAUCAAAACAUUUUUUUCCUGCAUACUCAAUCCCUCUCUCUCCCAUUGACAGCUUUAACAAUGGGUAAUAAAGAUCUUUUCUCCGCUAGUGUUCUCAAAU
rnacentral:lncRNA from 1 species